rnacentral:ncRNA from 1 species
GUGUUGAAAUGCAUGGUGGGUAAUCAAUGUGAAAUUCGUUGGCUGUUCCUGCAACGGUUAUAGUCCGAGCGCCACCCAACAUAGUCCGACUAGAAUGAAGGCCAGGAAAAGUCUAAUUCUGUUAACGGCAAA